AACGAACGCUGGCGGCGCGCUUAACACAUGCAAGUCGAACGAGAAGGCGUAGCAAUACGCUUGUACAGUGGCGAACGGGUGAGUAAUACGUGGGCGACCUACCCUCGAGUGGGGAAUAACCCGCCGAAAGGCGGGCUAAUGCCGCGUACGCUUCCAUCUUUAUGGAGGUGGAAGGAAAGCCGUGCCGUGGGCACGGCGCUCAAGGAUGGGCUCACGUCCUAUCAGCUUGUUGGUAGGGAACGGCCUACCAAGGCUCCGACGGGUAGCUGGUCUGAGAGGACGAUCAGCCACACUGGCACUGCGACACGGGCCAGACUCCUACGGGAGCAGCAGUGAGGAAUAUUGCGCAA
rnacentral:rRNA from 1 species